rnacentral:snRNA from 1 species
UUGGGGCCUUUUCAUGUAAUGAGCGGCUGGCGUAUUUUGUCAUAGUUACACUGA